GACGAACGCUGGCGGCGUGCUUAACACAUGCAAGUCGAACGGAAAGGCCCUGCUUUUGUGGGGUGCUCGAGUGGCGAACGGGUGAGUAACACGUGAGUAACCUGCCCUUGACUUUGGGAUAACUUCAGGAAACUGGGGCUAAUACCGGAUAGGAGCUCCUGCUGCAUGGUGGGGGUUGGAAAGUUUCGGCGGUUGGGGAUGGACUCGCGGCUUAUCAGCUUGUUGGUGGGGUAGUGGCUUACCAAGGCUUUGACGGGUAGCCGGCCUGAGAGGGUGACCGGCCACAUUGGGACUGAGAUACGGCCCAGACUCCUACGGGAGGCAGCAGUGGGGAAUAUUGCACAAUGGGCGGAAGCCUGAUGCAGCAACGCCGCGUGCGUGAUGACGGCCUUCGGGUUAUAAACCGCUUUCGCCUGUGACGAAGCGUGAGUGACGGUAAUGGGUAAAGAAGCACCGGCUAACUACGUG
rnacentral:rRNA from 1 species